rnacentral:rRNA from 1 species
UACCAGCACCCCGAGUGGUCGGGGCGAUUAUUGGGCCUAAAGCAUCCGUAGCCGGUUCUGCAAGUCUCCCGUUAAAUCCACCUGCUUAACAGAUGGGCUGCGGGAGAUACUACAGAGCUAGGAGGCGGGAGAGGCAAGCGGUACUCAGUGGGUAGGGGUAAAAUCCGUUGAUCCAUUGAAGACCACCAGUGGCGAAGGCGGCUUGCCAGAACGCGCUCGACGGUGAGGGAUGAAAGCUGGGGGAUCAAAC